GGAUGCUAACGCAAUGUGAUUU
rnacentral:sRNA from 1 species